UCUACGCUCUCGUGGUGACUCAGUAGCAGGACAAUUUAAGAGAAUCCAGGAGCUUUGACUAACCGGCUACUCAGCCAUGACCCUGCCCUGUUGAAGGAAGUAGAAAGGACGGGAAUUGGUCAGUCAACAGCACUCAGGUGCCAAGUCGUGAACACACUGUGGGGAGGAGACCGGCGACAGAAAAUGACUGGAAGACACAAGGAAUCCCUAAAAGAUCGAAAAAAUGUUCUCCACAAACUAAACAAAGUUAGAUUGGGAAAUGCAGCAUGGUACCAUGGGGGCCUGGUUUGGCCAUGACCCGCCUGCCCACAGGCGCCGGCCUCAGAUGCUCACAGCGGCCUGGGGAGAGAGGGGACACUUUGACUUUUCAAGAUCUAAGAGUUAUGGUUCCCUUUUGGCAAAAUGCCUUUUGUCCUGUGAUACACUUGAGUCCUUUGUGAUACACUUGAGCACCGACUGUGGCCUUGGCAGCCCAGGUAGGAGUCAUUCAACCUUCUUCAGCAGAUGGAAGUGAUUUUUAAGUGAAUACAGAAAGCAGCCCCACCCACACCCUCCUCUGUCAGGAAUGAAGCAUCUGUGAUGGAAGAUAUCUGCAGCCUGGGGAAAAAAUUAACUGCGACAGCUCCAUUGCACGUUGUGGGGUCAUAUUUUUAUUGAUGUGAAAUUCUUGCUCUCUACUAUCCGAUUUUUGUUAACUACUGAAUCUAAAUCUUGUCGGGUCUUGUGCUUGCCAACCCCUGUAAUUAGCAUGAUAUCCUAGAUUGUUUUUAAAUUGAAGUGGCCUGGUUUCUGUGUCUAACCUGUGCAGUUAGAGGCCCCGGGGCUGAGAUUAUAUCUGGGGCUCUCCCUGGACCCCUCUCUUCCACGCCCUGGCUGGAGACUGAGCAUCAAAACCUCCCGUGGAAACCUGGAUCCAGAGUUCAGGAACUGGGAGGCUGGCACAGGAGAGGGGGUGCGGGUGAUGUCAAGCACCCUUCUCUGGGACUUGCAAGUUGCCACAGGGGGGGUGGCACAUCCCCCCCACCCCCCACCCCCGCCCCAUUGCUGGCUGUGCAUGGUAAGGAUGGGCUCCAUCCUCAGUGGGAGGGCUUCGCUAUCUCACACAAGGCUGCCUACAGGGCUUGAACACUUCAAUGUGGGGAGGAGACGCCCAGAUUUGGAUACUGGCUUGGCCAGUCCUGGUGCGGAUGUCCAGCCUCUCUGCUGGGUGAAGGCUGAAUCCUGGCACCCGCCAGUGCAGCUUUUUCCUCGCAGCCUAGAUGAGACAAUUAGAAAAACCAGAGCCUGGAGAAUCCCAGGGACGGGGAAGCCUGGUGGGCUGCUGUCUAUGGGUCGCACAGAGUCGGACACGACUGAAGCAACUUAGCAGCAGCAUCAGCAGCGGCAGAGAGGUAAAGAGAACUUCCGCUCAAUCCUAGCUUCUGUCUUCUCAAUAGAGGAGAGCGUGGCAACCCACUCCAAUAUUCUUGCCUGGAGAAUCCUAUGGACAGAGGAGCCCUACAGUUCAUGGGGUCAAAGAGUCAGACGCGACUAAAGCGUGACCAUCUCAUCAGAGGAUCCCUCCCACCUACCCUACACCACCGAACCAAAUGGACCAACGACAUCAGGCAGCUUCUUUUAAAUCUCACCCCCAGGGCCUCUAACUGCACAGGUAAGACACAGAAACCAGGCCACUGCAAUUUAAAAGAAGCCUUGCAGCUUCUUAAAGACCAGGGUCAAGUGCAUAUAAAGUCCUUCCGUUACUUACCUUCA